UACGUAGGGUGCAAGCGUUGUCCGGAAUUAUUGGGCGUAAAGAGCUCGUAGGCGGCUUGUCGCGUCGAAUGUGAAAUCUCGGGGCUCAACUCCGAGCUUGCAUUCGAUACGGGCAGGCUAGAGUUCGGUAGGGGAGACUGGAAUUCCUGGUGUAGCGGUGAAAUGCGCAGAGAUCGGGAGGAACACCCGUAGCGAAGGCGGCACUCUGGGCCGGUACUGACGCUGAGGAGCGAAAGCGUGGGAGCAACAGGG
rnacentral:rRNA from 1 species